rnacentral:rRNA from 1 species
UGGUAGUGUAUUGGACUACCAUGGCUUUAACGGGUAACGGAGGAUUAGGGUUCGAUUCCGGAGAGGGAGCCUGAGAAACGGCUACCACAUCUAAGGAAGGCAGCAGGCGCGUAAAUUACCCAAUCCUGACUCAGGGAGGUAGUGACAAGAAAUAACGGACCGAAGCCUAUGUUUCGGGAUUGCAAUGAGUAGAAUUUAAACCCCUUUACGAGGAUCAAUUGGAGGGCAAGUCUGGUGCCAGCAGCCGCGGUAAUUCCAGCUCCAAUAGCGUAUAUUAAAGUUGUUGCAGUUAAAAAGCUCGUAGUUGGAUUUCUGGGAGGGUGCCAAUGUCCGCUCGAUUGCGUGUGCAGCGGCGCCCUUCCAUCCUUCUGUUAACGUUUCUUGGUAUUCAGUUACUGGUUUCGGGCUCAGAUAUUUUACCUUGAGAAAAUUAGAGUGUUCCAGGCAGGCUUGCGCCGGAAUACAUUAGCAUGGAAUAAUAGAAUAGGACUUUAGUCUCCUUUGUUGGUUUGAGGGACUGAAGUAAUGAUUAAUAGGGAUAGUUGGGGGCAUUAGUAUUUAAUUGUCAGAGGUGAAAUUCUCGGAUUUGUUAAAGACUAACUUAUGCGAAAGCAUUUGCCAAGGAUGUUUUCAUUAAUCAAGAACGAAAGUUAGGGGAUCAAAGACGAUCAGA